AGGAAUUGACGGGGGCCCGCACAAGCGGAGGAACAUGUGGUUUAAUUCGAUGAUACGCGAGGAACCUUACCCGGGCUCAAACGUAUGAUGAGCGUAGAGAGAUUUACGGGCCUAGUAAUAGGAGUCAUACGAGGUGCUGCAUGGUUGUCGUCAGCUCGUGCCGUGAGGUGUCAGGUUAAGUCCUAUAACGAGCGCAACCCCUGCUGACAGUUACUAACAGGUAAUGCUGAGGACUCUGUCGGGACUGCCGCCGUAAGGUGCGAGGAAGGCGGGGAUGACGUCAAAUCAGCACGGCCCUUACGUCCGGGGCGACACACGUGUUACAAUGGGCGGUACAGAGAGUUGCUAUCCCGUGAGGGUGCGCUAAUCUUGAAAGCCGUUCUCAGUUCGGAUCGGAGUCUGGAACUCGACUCCGUGAAGCUGGAUUCGCUAGUAAUCGCGCAUCAGCCAUGGCGCGGUGAAUACGUUCCCGGGCCUUGUACACACCGCCCGUCAAGCCAUGGAAGCCGGGAGUACCUGAAGUCCGUAACCGCGAGGAGCGGCCUAGGGUAAGACUGGUGACUGGGGCU
rnacentral:rRNA from 1 species